GUGGGGAAUAUUGCGCAAUGGGGGAAACCCUGACGCAGCGACGCCGCGUGAGCGAAGAAGGCCUUAGGGUUGUAAAGCUCUGUUUUAAGGGACGAAUGUCGUGGGGAGUAAUAUGCUCUGCGAAUGACGGUACCUUAAGAGGAAGCCCCGGCUAACUACGUGCCAGCAGCCGCGGUAAGACGUAGGGGGCGAGCGUUGUCCGGAAUUACUGGGCGUAAAGAGCACGUAGGCGUGAACUUAAGUCAGGUGUGAAAGACCGGGGCUCAACUCCGGGGUUGCACUUGACACUGGGUGUCUUGAGGGCAGGAGAGGAAAGCAGAAUUCCUGGUGUAGCGGUGAAAUGCGUAGAAAUCAGGAGGAAUACCAGUGGCGAAGGCGGCUUUCUGGACUGACCCUGACGCUGAGGUGCGAAAGCGUGGGUAGCAAACAGGAUUAGAAACCCUGGUAGUCC
rnacentral:rRNA from 1 species